CCUACGGGAGGCAGCAGUAGGGAAUAUUGCUCAAUGGGGGAAACCCUGAAGCAGCAACGCCGCGUGGAGGAUGAAGGUUUUCGGAUUGUAAACUCCUUUUGUUAGAGACGAUACUGACGGUAUCUAACGAAUAAGCACCUGCUAAAUCCGUGCCCACAGCCGCGGUCAUACGGAGGGUGCAAGCGUUACUCGGAAUGACUGGGCGUAAAGAGCGCGUAGGGGGGAUCUCAAGUCAGAUGUGAAAUCCUAUGGCUUAACCAUAGUACUGCAUUUGAAACUGUUAUUCUAGAGUAUGGGAGAGGUAGGUGGAAUUCGUGGUGUAGGGGUAAAAUCCGUAGAGAUCAAGAGGAAUACUCAUUGCGAAGGCGACCUGCUAGAACAUAACUGACGCUGAUGCGCGAAAGCGUGGGGAGCAAACAGGAUUAGAUACCCCUGUAGUC
rnacentral:rRNA from 1 species